rnacentral:rRNA from 1 species
CAGCCGCCGCGGUAAUACGUAGGGUGCAAGCGUUAAUCGGAAUUACUGGGCGUAAAGCGUGCGCAGGCGGUUAUGCAAGACAGAUGUGAAAUCCCCGGGCUCAACCUGGGAACUGCAUUUGUGACUGCAUGACUAGAGUACGGCAGAGGGGGAUGGAAUUCCGCGUGUAGCAGUGAGAUGCGUAUAUAUGCGGAGGGACACCGAUGGCGAAGGCAAUCCCCUGGGCCUGUACUGACGCUCAUCCACGAAAGCGUGGGGAGCAAACAGGAUUAGAUACCCCCGUAGUCCCUGUCUCUUAUAC